rnacentral:misc_RNA from 1 species
AGUCGAACGGCAGCACGGACUUCGGUCUGGUGGCGAGUGGCGAACGGGUGAGUAAUGUAUCGGAACGUGCCUAGUAGCGGGGAUAACUACGCGAAAGCGUAGCUAAUACCGCAUACGCCCUUCGGGGAAAGCGGGGACCUUCGGGCCUCGCACUAUUAGAGCGGCCGAUAUCGGAUUAGCUAGUUGGUGGGGUAACGGCUCACCAAGGCGACGAUCCGUAGCUGGUUUGAGAGGACGACCAGCCACACUGGGACUGAGACACGGCCCAGACUCCUACAGGAGGCAGCAGUGGGGAAUUUUGGACAAUGGGGGAAACCCUGAUCCAGCCAUCCCGCGUGUGCGAUGAAGGCCUUCGGGUUGUAAAGCACUUUUGGCAGAAGAAACGGCACGGGAUAAUACCUGCAACUGACAGCCUGCAGAAUAAGCACCGGCUAACUACGUGCCAGCAGCCGCGGUAAUACGUAGGGUGCAAGCGUUAAUCGGAAUUACUGGGCGUAAAGCGUGCGCAGGCGGUUCGGAAAAGAAGAUGUGAAAUCCCAGAGCUUAACUUUGGAACUUGCAUUUUUAACUACCGAGCUAGAGUGUGUCAGAGAGGGAGGUGGAAUUCCGCGGGUAGCAGUGAAAUGCGUAGAUAUGCGGAGGAACACCGAUGGCGAAGGCAGCCUCCUGGGAUAACACUGACGCUCAUGCACAAGCGUGGGAGCAAACAGGAUUAGAUACCCUGGUAGUCCACGCCCUAAACGAUGUCCAACUAGCUGUUGGGGCCUUCGGGCCUUGUUGGCCGCAGCUAACGCGUGAAGUUGACCGCCUGGGAAGUACGGUCGCAAGAUUAAAACUCAAGGAAUUGACGGGGACCCGCACAAGCGGUGGAUGAUGUGGAUUAAUUCGAUGCAACGCGAAAAACCUACCCUUGACAUGUCUGGAAUCCCGAAGAGAUUUGGGAGUGCUCGCAAGAGAACCGGAACACAGGUGCUGCAUGGCUGUCGUCAGCUCGUGUCGUGAGAUGUUGGGUUAGUCCCGCAACGAGCGCAACCCUUGUCAUUAGUUGCUACGAAGGGCACUCUAAUGAGACUGCCGGUGACAAACCGGAGGAAGGUGGGGAUGACGUCAAGUCCUC